UGGGAAUUUUGGACAAUGGGCGCAAGCCUGAUCCAACCAUGCCGCGUGCAGGAAGAAGCAUCUAUGGUGUGUAAACUGCUUUUGUACGGGAAGAAACACUCCUUCGUGAAGGAGCUUGACGGUACCGUAAGAAUAAGGAUCGGCUAACUCCGUGCCAGCAGCCGCGGUAAUACGGAGGAUCCAAGCGUUAUCCGGAAUCAUUGGGUUUAAAGGGUCCGUAGGCGGUUUAGUAAGUCAGUGGUGAAAGCCCAUCGCUCAACGAUGGAACGGCCAUUGAUACUGCUAGACUUGAAUUAUUAGGAAGUAACUAGAAUAUGUAGUGUAGCGGUGAAAUGCUUAGAUAUUACAUGGAAUACCAAUUGCGGAGGCAGGUUACUACUAAUGGAUUGACGCUGAUGGACGAAAGCGUGGGGAGCGAACA
rnacentral:rRNA from 1 species